UGAGGAAUAUUGGUCAAUGGGCGCGAGCCUGAACCAGCCAAGUAGCGUGAAGGAUGAAGGUCCUAUGGAUUGUAAACUUCUUUUAUAGCAGAAUAAAGUGACCCACGUGUGGGUUUUUGUAUGUAUGCUAUGAAUAAGGAUCGGCUAACUCCGUGCCAGCAGCCGCGGUAAUACGGAGGAUCCGAGCGUUAUCCGGAUUUAUUGGGUUUAAAGGGUGCGUAGGCGGAAAGAUAAGUCAGCCUGUGAAAGUUUGCGGCUCAACCGUAAAAUUGCAGUUGAUACUGUUUUUCUUGAGUGUACAUAAGGUAGGCGGAAUUCUUGGUGUAGCGGUGAAAUGCUUAGAUAUCACGAAGAACUCCGAUUGCGAAGGCAGCUUACCGGGGUACAACUGACGCUGAUGCACGAAAGUGUGGGUAUCAAAC
rnacentral:rRNA from 1 species